rnacentral:rRNA from 1 species
GAUGAACGCUGGCGGCGUGCCUAAUACAUGCAAGUCGAACGCGAGCACUUGUGCUCGAGUGGCGAACGGGUGAGUAAUACAUAAGUAACCUGCCCUAGACAGGGGGACAACAGUUGGAAACGACUGCUAAUACCGCAUAAGCCCACGACCCGGCAUCGGGUUGAGGGAAAGGAGCAAUCCGCUUUGAGAUGGCCUCGCGUCCGAUUAGCUAGUUGGUGGGGUAACGGCCCACCAAGGCAACGAUCGGUAGCCGGACUGAGAGGUUGAACGGCCACAUUGGGACUGAGACACGGCCCAG